UGGGAUACGGUUGCGAUUGCAGAGUGUAGGUGGGAGCCGUCGAUCUUAGCUUCUCCGGAGGCUAGGGGAGGCGACAAUGGAACACCACCCUUUUGUGACUGUAUCCCUUACUGGCGCGAACGCGCUGGGACAACGGUAGGUGGGCAGUUUGGCUGGGGCGGCACCCCCUUGAAAAAAUAUCGAGGGGGCCCAAAGGUCAGCUCAGGCGGGACAGAAACCCGUCGUAGAGCGUAAAGGCAAAAGCUGGCCUGACUGGAUCCUCCGACGCAAGGGAUCCAGAGGCGAAAGCCUGGCUUAGCGAGCCGUCAUGUCCUCAUUGGUGGGGGCUGGCGGCGACAGAAAAGUUACCCCGGGGAUAACAGGCUCGUUGCGGGCGAGAGUUCCCAUCGGCCCCGCAGCUUGGUACCUCGAUGUCGGCUCUUCCCAUCCUGGCUCCGUAUAAGGAGCCAAGGGUGAGGCUGCUCGCCUAUUAAAGGGGAACGUGAGCUGGGUUUAGACCGUCGUGAGACAGGUCGGACUUUAUCUGCUGGGAGCGGUGGUCGCCUGAGGGGAAAGGGUUCCCAGUACGAGAGGAACGGGACGCUGUAGCCUCUAGUUUACCGGUUGUCCGACAGGGCACUGCCGGGCAGCCACGCUGCUGCGGAUAAGAGCUGAAAGCAUCUAAGCUCGAAGCUGCUCCCGAGAAGAGGCGGCCAUUCCCAAGGUUUGAGACCCGGUGACGGGCCUCAUCGCGGGACGAGGGUUCCCAUAGAAGAUGGGUUAUAUGGAGCCGGGGUGUACGCUGGAAGGCUUCGGCCGACCAGUUUAGCCCGCGGAUCCCAAUCACCCGAGAUGUCGGGUUG
rnacentral:rRNA from 1 species